ensembl:lncRNA
UCAUCUCCAGAAAUCAUCUUAUCUUAGUGUGAUGCCAUCCCUCUAUUUUCUAUCUACUUCAAUAUGUCCGGUUGAUCAUUUGAGAUGUGAGACAUCGCUGCUGAAGAGACAAAGACAAAAAUUAAGGAGCUACUGGGAAUUUGCAACACGUAAUUAGGAUCUGAUAACAACAUCUGGUCUAGAAGGCUAUGAGCUAGGAAGGAACCAUACUGCCGCAACUAAGCUCCUUCUCCACAGCUCCAAAAUGGCCACGUGGGACAGAGGGUA